GCCUACGGGAGGCAGCAGUGGGGGAUAUUGCACAAUGGGGGAAACCCUGAUGCAGCGACACCGCGUGGGUGAAGAAGCGCUUCGGCGUGUAAAGCCCUAUCAGUGGGGAAGAAAAAGGACGGUACCCAAAGAAGAAGCACCGGCUAACUCCGUGCCAGCAGCCGCGGUAAUACGGAGGAUGCGAGCGUUAUCCGGAUUUAUUGGGUUUAAAGGGUGCGCAGGUGGACCAUCAAGUCAGCGGUAAAAUCGUGGGGCCCAACCCCAUCCCGCCGUUGAAACUGGCGGUCUUGAGUGAGCGAGAAGUA
rnacentral:rRNA from 1 species